GAGUUUGAUCCUGGCUCAGAUUGAACGCUGGCGGCAGGCCUAACACAUGCAAGUCGAGCGGAUGACGGGAGCUUGCUCCUUGAUUCAGCGGCGGACGGGUGAGUAAUGCCUAGGAAUCUGCCUGGUAGUGGGGGACAACGUUUCGAAAGGAACGCUAAUACCGCAUACGUCCUACGGGAGAAAGCAGGGGACCUUCGGGCCUUGCGCUAUCAGAUGAGCCUAGGUCGGAUUAGCUAGUUGGUGGGGUAAUGGCUCACCAAGGCGACGAUCCGUAACUGGUCUGAGAGGAUGAUCAGUCACACUGGAACUGAGACACGGUCCAGACUCCUACGGGAGGCAGCAGUGGGGAAUAUUGGACAAUGGGGGAAACCCUGAUCCAGCAACGCCGCGUGAGUGAUGAAGGCCUUGGGUCGUAAAGCUCUGUUGUAGAGGGAAGAAUAGGGUCGUCGUAACAAACGACUUUAGACGUUACCUCUUGUAGGAAGCACCGGCUAACUCUGUGCCAGCAGCCGCCGUAA
rnacentral:rRNA from 1 species